GUUCGCGCGCUCUAAACAGCACUCAAGUAAUUCUCACAAAGCGAGUAACUAAGCGAAAAAUAAAAUAAAAAAUAGCUACGAAAAUCCACAAACUAUGAACCGGCAAAACAGAGGAGAUGGCAAAAAAUGCUAGGAAAGACUGCCAGCAAAAAGCAUUCUCACACAAGCACACCCACAGAGUCGAGAAACUCUUGAAAGUCAUGCAAAAACUAUAUUUUAGCAAUUUUUUCGGCAAAACUGUUCGCGCACGACUUUUUUACUCCAGUAGCAAUAUUUUUACACUAGAAAGGCGGGCCUUUUUCCGGGUUUUAAUGAGGUGUCACUUGCUUAAGAAAAUUAUCUCUAUCCCCUAUUCUAUUGUCAACUGUACCACGCCGAUCAAAAUUUAAAUUUAAAUUAAUUUUUACAACUUUUUUUCGAGAACAAGCGUUUCACAGGGCUA